rnacentral:lncRNA from 1 species
CCGAACUUCUAAUCCUACAGUAGUCCUGAGAGGAAGUUCCAGUUUUCAGUUGAAAGCAAAUCUUUCUUCACAUUUUUCUUCGUCUUUGCAUACGUGGAGCCUGAUUCUCCUCCCCUGGAACAGGCGUUGGCCUUAGUGUCUCACCUCCAACAAGCAGAAAGAAGUGACGGUGUGUGAUGUCCAGCUUGCACUUGGCUCUUUUUCUGUUGGGAUGCUUUCCCUUGGCACCCAGCCACCAUGUUGUGAGGAAGCCCAGGCCACGCGUAGAGGCCCAGCCUCAGUCCACAUGGAGAGGCCCACAUGGAGAAGAAACGAGUCAAAGCCCCCAGUCAACAGCCAGCACCAGCUGCCAGACGUGUGAGGGACCCAGCUCUUGAGCCCUCCAACUGAGGCCCCAACACCGGGAGCAAAGACUGGCCAUCUCCACUGUGUCCUUUCCCAACUCUUGCUCCAUAGACUCCACAAAGAGUUGUUUUACACCACUAAGUCUUGGGGUGAUUUAUUA